rnacentral:pre_miRNA from 1 species
AUAAUACUCCCUCUGUCCUAAAAUACUUGUCAUCAAAAUGAAUAAAAGAGGAUGUAUCUAGACAUAUUUUAGUUUGAGAUACAUCUCUUUUUAUCCAUUUUGAUGACGAGUAUUUUCGGACGGAGGGAGUACUAA